rfam:Salmo salar isolate Sally breed double haploid chromosome ssa09, whole genome shotgun sequence.
CCUCCCCUAACCCGGAUGUAGAGCAUGGUGUUUGCAACGCCAGGGUUGUGGGUUCGAUUCCCACGGGGGGCC